rnacentral:misc_RNA from 1 species
CCUGACCAGGCACAUAAACUUUCCCCUCAUAUUCAACAGGGGCAAAUGGGCUUCCACUAGCAAAAAUGGCACGACCCUCACUCCAUGUAUAAGCUUCUUCAGCAGUACAUUCAGACUGUGAAGUUGGGUUGGAGAGAGCAAGAAUUAUAGGUCUCUCAUUGAAGGAGGCCAUAGCCUCAACCACUUCUUUUGUAAAUGUUCUUCCUACUCCUGAUGUUCCAAUCAACACUGUUGGCUU